rnacentral:rRNA from 1 species
AGUGAACGCUGGCGGUAGGCCUAACACAUGCAAGUCGAACGGCAGCACAGUAAGAGCUUGCUCUUACGGGUGGCGAGUGGCGGACGGGUGAGGAAUACAUCGGAAUCUACUUUUUCGUGGGGGAUAACGUAGGGAAACUUACGCUAAUACCGCAUACGACCUACGGGUGAAAGCAGGGGAUCUUCGGACCUUGCGCGAUUGAAUGAGCCGAUGUCGGAUUAGCUAGUUGGCGGGGUAAAGGCCCACCAAGGCAACGAUCCGUAGCUGGUCUGAGAGGAUGAUCAGCCACACUGGAACUGAGACACGGUCCAGACCCCUACGGGAGGCAGCAGUGGGGAAUAUUGGACAAUGGGCGCAAGCCUGAUCCAGCCAUACCGCGUGGGUGAAGAAGGCCUUCGGGUUGUAAAGCCCUUUUGUUGGGAAAGAAAAGCAGCAGGUUAAUACCCCGCUGUUCUGACGGUACCCAAAGAAUAAGCACCGGCUAACUUCGUG